UGUAUGCUAUCAUUUUUAACAGCUG
rnacentral:piRNA from 1 species